GGGUCCUGGAUUACCAGGCUCACCACGAGCUCCCUGGGCUCCCUCAGCUCCACGAGAUCCUUGGGGACCAGUCUCUCCCUGAGCAGAGAAAGAACACGGAGUUAUGUCAUAUUUCACAUUUGAAUUUCGAUGGAAGAUUAGGUUUCAGACGAGAACUCAUCAUAGGACAUGAAGACCGAAACUGCAAAUCAUGAAACGUCCUCUUUUGGGUGAUUUACCUUCAAACCAGCGCCGCCAGGGAAUCCAGGGGGUCCAGCAGGUCCAGUGGAUCCCUAAAAUAUGAAGACAGGAUGUUAGCAGACAAUUCUAAAAGAGACAGUGGACCUGCAAGUGAAAA